GAUGAACGCUAGCGGCAGGCUUAAUACAUGCAAGUCGUGGGGCAGCAGGGGUAGCAAUACUCGCUGGCGACCGGCAAACGGGUGCGGAACACGUACGCAACCUUCCCAAAACUGGUGAAUAGCCCUCCGAAAGGAGGAUUAAUACACCGUAACAUAAUGAGAAGGCAUCAUUUUAUUAUUAUAGCUCAGGCGGUUUUGGAUGGGCGUGCGCCUGAUUAGGUAGUUGGCGGGGUAACGGCCCACCAAGCCUGCGAUCAGUAACUGGUGUGAGAGCACGACCAGUCACACGGGCACUGAGAUACGGGCCAGACUCCUACGGGAGCAGCAGUAGGGAAUAUUGGACAAUGGGUGCAAGCCUGAUCCAGCCAUGCCGCGUGCAGGAAGAAGGCCUUCUGGGUUGUAAACUGCUUUUGCCAGGGGAUAAAAAGCCCUUAGCGAGGGAAAUUGAAGGUACUGGUGAAUAAGCCACGGCUAACUACGUGCCAGCAGCCGCGGU
rnacentral:rRNA from 1 species